rnacentral:misc_RNA from 1 species
AGUUCAUUGUGAGGUCAUUCAUCCAAUCAGAAAAGCCGCCAUCUUAGGAAAGUAUUUCUUUCUAGGUUGUGUUUGCAAAAAAUAUUUAAUAAGCACAUAGAUGACCAUGGCGUCGGAUCCCAACUUCCAAGCCUCCAUGCAGAUGUCUGGCAUCACAGAACAAGCACAGCUGAUGUUGACAGAAUUCUGGCCCAAGACACUGGAAAAUAUACAGAACCUCCAAUAUAAUGAUUUUAAGGGGCAGGAACUCCCCCUUGCUAGAAUAAAAAAGAUCAUGAAACUUGAUGAAGAUGUAAAGAUGAUAAGUGCGGAGGCUCCAGUGUUGUUUGCCAAGGCAGCGGAGAUAUUUAUAAGUGAGCUGUCACUUAGAGCCUGGAUCCACACCGAGGACAACAAGAGGAGGACACUGCAGAGAAAUGACAUAGCAAUGGCCAUUUCAAAGUUUGACCAAUUCGAUUUCUUGAUUGACAUCGUGCCCAGAGAUGAACUGAAACCGCCAAAGAGACCAGAGGAUUCUUCUCGAGUGUCCAAUAACCUCCCGGAUCAAAUCAACUACUAUCUCCAACUAGCGCAGCAACAGUCUCAACAACAACAGCAGCAGCAGCAACAACAGCAGCAACAACAGCAACAGCAGCAGCAACAACAACAACAACAACAACAGCAGCAGCAGCAGACUGUUGUAGCACAGCCAGCCCCUGCAACUCAACCCGCAGCACAGGUGGUGACGGCAGCAGCAGCAACAACACAGGCAGUGGCGCAACCCAAUGUUAUGGCAAUACAGCUGCCAUCGGGUCAGAUCAUACAACAGCCUCUACAGUUCCAGGCUCAGCCCCAGGUGAUCCAAGUACAAGCACCUCAACAGGUGCAGCAAGUACAGCAAGUACAACAACUACAGCAGGUGCAACAGAUGCAGCAGCAGCAACAACAGCAACAGCAGGUGCUUGUACAGCAGGCACAAACAGCAGUAGCACCAGCCCAGCCGCAGCAGCAACAGCAGCAGCAACAGCAGCAGCCACAGACACAAGUGUAUCAGCAGGUGCUCACACCCUCGGGGGAGCUGCAGACUGUACCUGUGACGUUAUCGUCCGCCCAGCUUCAGGCCAUCCAGAUGCAGCUGCAGGGCAAGCAGGGGGACCAGCCAAUCAUCAUUCAGAUGAAUCAGGGCUUGCAGUCGGGAGCAACAGCACAGCCCCAGCAGACACAACAGACUUUCACACAGCCGAUGUACCAGAUUCAGCAGGUGGGCCAGGGGGGCCAGCAGAUUGUCAUACAUCAAGGAGGUGGAGACUCGGACAACCAGGCUGAUGGGCAGGAAACAUCAUAACACUUGCAGUGUACACUGUAGCAGCCAUCUAGCACACCUGUGUGUUCCGUCACACCGCCUCAGGAGCCAGUGUGAAUAGUGGGACAUUAGGCCAUAAGGGAACACCAGACAUUUGACUUUGGGAUGUGUUCAGAACAUGACGCCACAAAUGACAUGAGAAAAAAACAGACAUGUGGACUUCACUUACUUUUGAACAUACUGAUAUGUGGAUAUCAAGGAUAUGUGAACAUACGCAAGUGGAUAUCAAGGAUAUGUGAACACACAGAUCUGUGAAUAUCAUGAACAUGGGCCUAUACAGAUGUGCAAAUAUCAAUGACAUGAACAUUCAGAUAUGUGAAUAUCGAGGACAUGCGAACAUCAUAAAUAUGAAUUUGAAUGUAUGUCAUUUUAGAAGAACAAAACAGCUCAUGAGACUGAAAGACUCUUUUUGUUUAAUACAUGAUAGUGAUGUUGAAGUACUUAAUAUUGUGACAUCACAAACACUAUGACAACUGGGAUCUGCAUGUCAUUGUCAAGAUUAAUGACACAGUCAGAUGAUGCCAAAAUAUUUCUUUGUACUUUGUGAUGGUAACUUUUAUGUUAUUUUUGUAUUGUAUUCCUUAGCCUAUUAGGAUUCUGGGUCCUUGCAUGCUUAGUCUUGAAUUUGUUCCGUGACAUUUUCUUACAGGUGAAUCAAGAUUGUACAAUUGUUGGUAACCCUGUGAGAACUUUGUGUUGUUUUUACUGUGUUUGCAGACUUGAAAACCAUAAAUGUGUUGCAUUGUUCAUCUGACUAAGCAAGUUCACAUCUCCUAAUGGUGCAGUUGGUGGGUAAGGGAUGUUUUGUUGACUCAUCAGCAAUUCAGGGGAAAUGGGUGUCCAAGUCGUCUAAAUAUGCCACAAUUCACUGUACAGAGUUGUGUUUCUUAGGUAUGCCAGACCUAUGAUUGUGGGUUCGAAUCCCAGUUGGCCCUAAUUAUGAGUCUAGGUUUGUCAGCACCAUACCCUGCUUGUUGGUUUCACCAAAUGGUAAACAUCAAAGACCUGCAUCACUUUGGACUUUCCGUGAUAUAACUGCAAUACUGUUCAAAGCGACGUUAAACCCAACUCACUCAUAUAUGUCGCAUCACUGAUACAAACAGUUGUUAUAGAAUACCUUCAUAUUAUUGUUUUAUUUAUUACUUUUGUGUUCUAGGGAACAUCCUAUCGUAGUCUGUAAACCAUGAAAUGGUUAUUCAGAAUAGGCAGCUAUUGCUAGAAAUUGACCAUGUUUUUGCUACUUUAAUUUUACAACAUUGUUAUUGACAUUGUCCAUGUUCAUAAGUUCAAAGCUUCAUCCACCUGACAUUAUCAGAGAGUUUAUUGUACUGAGAGUUUGCACAGAUAUUGAAUGUCUUACAUUAAUAAAGGCUUCACCAAGGCCGUCAAUCAGAAUAUCUCUGUUAUGGACACAGUGAUGUAUAUUCACUCCCCGUUUGGGGGCGGUCGGGUAGCCUGCUGGUUAAAGUGUUCGCUCGUCAUGCCAAAGACCGGGUUCGAUUCCCAACAUUGGUACAAUGUGUGAAGCCCAUUUCUGGUGUCGGACGCCGUGAUAUUGCUGGAAUAUUGCUAAAAGCGGCGUAAAACCAUAUUCACUCACUCACUCCCCAUUUGGGUGUGUAGGAGUUCAGAUAAUUGAGCUCUAGAAAUUCGUUUAUCAGAGUGCUUACUUUAGAAAAAGAGUACAUUCAUGUGUAAUUAAUGUAAUAGCAGAAACAGUAGCUGCAAAAAAUGUUUGUUUCUUAUCUAGAUUUCUGAUAUUGAAAGUGACUUCUGUCAGUGUGUGUAAUUAAUGAAAUUGCAGAAAAAGUAGCCUGUCUAUUACCAUUGUGGUUGUUUUUUUCUGGGCUUCUGAUAUUGAAUAUGACUUCUGUCAAUGUGAGUGAGAGUUAUUAAGCCUAAGAUAGUCUCAGUAGGGUUAUAAAAUCUGUAAAUAUGAGACCUUAACCACUGCUUUGUUGUCUGUGUUAAGAAGUAGAAGACUUCUUGUUUGCGGGAAGGUAAGCCAAACUAGUAUUGGAAUUGAAUAUAUAUUUUGUUGUGUUUAGAAAUUCUGUGCAGAAGGAAGCUCUGUAACUUGAUAAUCAGCAGCAUUUGGAUGAGGACUGCGCGUCCUUGUCAUGAAAGUAUUAAGAGGGUCCUGAUGCUGUACACUGUUUAGCAUAAAACAACUAAAGAAAACUAUGGUAUAGUAAGAUGAAUCCGAUUUUUUAUCAUUAAAGAUUAAUGUUAAAUGUAAAACAAAAACCCUGCUUAGCAUACAGUAAACCUUUCCUGUUUAUUGAAUUGCAUAAAUUCUUGAAAAAGAAUGAUUUAACUGGACCUAAUGACCCAGCAAAAUUUGGUAUUUUCAAAACAAAUUGCAGUAAUGAAAGGAACGCAGAUCCAGUUGUCCCUUGGUUUCCCUACAUACAGGCUGAUGUUCCCAUUCCCAUAGAGAUGAUUUUGCGUUUUAGGUUCAGCUGGACAGCUUGUCCACUUUUCCAGUAUUUGUUUUUACUCAGAUGAAAAAAUAAUGACUGCUGACUAAAGGGCCCACAUUUUACUGACUUGUAACAACCCCCCCCCCCCCAUCAAGACCCUCUAUUAAUGCAGUUGUUGGUGAUGUAAUCAUGCUGAAGAUUUUCUCUGUCGUUUCAUGAACUGCAAAUAUGUUAAAUAGUUUAUGAUCAUCAGAUAAUGUGUGAAGUAUUCCCCAACAUUGCAAAAUAUCUAUUCUAUUUUCUGUGUUUCAAAUGUUCUUUAACCAUGUCAGCAUAUUGUUGUUUUCAAAUAUGAGUAUUACUAGUUAAUAGAAAUCAAGGCCUGGCCUCAAAUGCAGAAAUUCUUACACAAAAACCAAUAUCCUGUCAGAGACCAACAUGAUAACAUGAUGUAACCAUGGUAACAUCUGCAUCUUGCCUCUCACAGGACUUGUGUCCUUUGGUUAAAGUCUUCCAGGGGCAUAUCGGUGUAAUGUUACCACAUGUAGAUGAGUUGGAGGUCAUGUAAUAUUACCAGCUGUAGAUGAGUUUGGAGGCCGUGUAAUGUUACCACCUGUAGAUGAGUUGGGGGUCGUGUAAUGUUACCACCUGUAGAUGAGUUGGAGGUGGUGUAAUGUUACCACCUGUAGAUGAGUUGGAGGUGGUGUAAUGUUACCACCUGUAGAUGAGUUGGAGGUCGUGUAAUGUUACCACCUGCAGAUGAGUUGGAGGUCGUGUAAUGUUACCACCUGAAGAUGAGUUGGAGGUGGUGUAAUGUUACCACCUGCAGAUGAGUUGGAGGUCGGGUCAUGUUACCACCUGCAGAUGAGUUGGAGGCUGUGUAAUGUUACCACCUGCAGAUGAGUUGGAGGUCGUGUAAUGUUACCACCUGCAGAUGAGUUGGAGGUCGUGUAAUGUUACCACCUGCAGAUGAGUUUGGAGGCCCUGUAAUGUUACCACCUGCAGAUGAGUUUGGAGGCAGUGUAAUGUUACCUCCUGUAGAAGAGCUUCGAGGCUGUGUAAUGUUACCACCUGCAGAUGAGUUGGAGGUCGUGUAAUGUUACCACCUGCAGAUGAGUUUGGAGGCCCUGUAAUGUUACCACCUGCAGAUGAGUUUGGAGGCAGUGUAAUGUUACCUCCUGUAGAUGAGUUGGAGGCUGUGUAAUGUUACCACCUGUAGAUGAGUUUGGAGGCUUCAUGCAUUUGUUACUAUAUCAUUAUCGGGUUUGUUGGGCUGUCCUGAUACAGCUGGAAUAUAGCUGACCUCAGCAUUAAACAACAUUCACGAACUCUAUUAUGUCAAAUCUUUAAACUUGGUUAGAAUACUUGCAAUAUUUAUGUACUUUUACUAUAGAGAUUGAAACUGUAAGCAAAGAAAAAAUAAACAAUCCUGGUGACAUGGUGCUGAUGCUGUUUGUGACAGGCACCUCCGUGUGAAGGUUGUAGCCCAGCAUGUAGGACAUGUAACUCAUUGUUGAAUUCAUCUGACAAAUAAAACAAAUAUAUCCUUAA